rnacentral:misc_RNA from 1 species
AAGUCGUAACAAGGUUUCCGUAGGUGAACCUGCGGAAGGAUCAUUACCAAUUGCGAAAGGCAGAAGCAGCAUUGGCGCCCCAGUCAAGGGGAUGCCUCUGCCGCUGCUGUUCCCAACUGCAAUUUCUCUUCAGUGUAUAUCUGUCCCAUGUUGCUUCCCACUUGCGGGCUCAUGCCCUGUGGGGAGGAAAACAAAACUCUGGUGUAAUGUUUUCGGUCUGAGUGGUCAACACAUUAAACAAGUUAAAACUUUCAACAACGGAUCUCUUGGUUCUC